CGGGUAGAGUAACACGUGGGCAUCUACCCUGAAGUGGGGAAUAACGGACCGAAAGGUUCGCUAAUACCGCAUAGGAUCGCGAGAUCAAAGGUUGUCGCAAGACGAUCGCUUUAGGAGGAGCCUGCGGCCGAUCAGGUAGUUGGUGAGGUAACGGCUCACCAAGCCGACGACCGGUAGCUGAUCUGAGAGGAUGACCAGCCACACUGGCACUGAGACACGGGCCCG
rnacentral:rRNA from 1 species